rnacentral:rRNA from 1 species
UACAGAGGGUGCGAGCGUUGUUCGGAAUUAUUGGGCGUAAAGGGCGCGUAGGCGGUUUGACAAGUCACUUGUGAAAUCUCCGGGCUUAACUCGGAACGGCCAAGUGAAACUGUCAUGCUAGAGUGCAGAAGGGGCAAUCGGAAUUCUUGGUGUAGCGGUGAAAUGCGUAGAUAUCAAGAGGAACACCUGAGGCGAAGACGGGUUGCUGGGCUGACACUGACGCUGAGGCGCGAAAGCCAGGGGAGCAAACGGG